ACUGGAAGAUUACCGUGCCCCAAGUCCACCAAUUUGGUAGGGGUUACGCAAAAGAUAAUUACUUGUAAAUGUCCCUCAUGUACUGAUACCAAUGAACAAUAGUAGAUUUUGAAAGACCGACUUUUUAAUGGACUCUUUACCAAAAACAGACCUUGGCUGUAGACCUGUGUGUGAAACUAACUAGCUGCUUACUAUCUUACUCAUCUGUGUACUCACUUCUGCAUGUUUUGCUUCAUUUCUGCAUUAUAUAUGUACAUAAUAACUCCUGCUUCUUCCUCACAUCUGUUAUUGUAUUCUCCCUCACAUCUGUGUUGCUGAUGGUGUUAUUCUCCAGCUGUAUGAGAGACUGAUACAAGAGACUAAUAUAAGAGACUAAAGCCAAACUGAAGAUUGAUCAUCUUGCUAUUUCAUUUGAUUGGAAAACAUCCAGACUUUGCCAGAGGAAGUUGCCUCCAGAAACAGAGAAAAGUAGUUCACAGAAAGUAGACACUUUGUGUCAUACCUCUAGCUAUGUCAAGAACUUAGCAAAAACAAAUCCCCAAAAAUGGGCUGUGUACAAAGACAAGGAAAAGACCCACAAACACAAGAGUUUAUUACCAAUAACAGAGCAGACAAAAGAGAAACCAGAAGAACAGAGAGCCAAAUGGGCAGCAAUGAAGAGAAAAAGGAGACAGAAUGAUAAUGAACACAAAGAAAGGCCCAAUAAGAAAAGGUUCAAAGACAUGGAUCCUGAGGAAAAGAAACAAUAUUUUAGAAACAAAAUGGCCUAAAGAUGACAAGCAUGAUCUAGACAAAGAAAACUGACUGAUAACUUAAAAGAUGCAAAAAGACAAGCAAAAUGACAUCACAGUCGCAAGGAAAGUUCCAGAAGACAAGCCAUGAUAGGAAUGGGACACAGAUAAGACCAAGUAUUACAGGAAAAAAUCUGAAAUAAAGAAACAGUUGUCAGAAACUCCUAAAUCAUAUGCUAAGUGUCUAAAAAAUCUCAUCAAUACAGCCUCAUCCAGUCAGAAAAAGGAAAUUGAAGAGCAGUGUGCAACGGCAACACCAAAUGUCAGUAUUCCAUGCCGCAAAGAUCUGAACAAAAUUUUCUCAAGACAGUUGAAAAAUCAAAGAAGGUGUACAACAGAUCAGGAAAAAAAAACCAACUGACUCCCACAGAAAUUUACUAAGACAGCUUUCUGCCAUUACUGGAAAAUACAGGCAUGUCCUUGGCAUUUUGUGGAGGUUUGAUCACAAAAAUGCACACAAGAAAAACAUCAAAAGGUCUAUAAAGAGAGGUGAUCGGGUAUUAACUGAAACACUAAUCAGUUUGGUACAUUGACAUGUCUCAAGAACUCUCCCUCAGGAAACAUGUGAAAAAGCAAACCCCAACCUUUUUAUUGGAGACCUCAUUUCUGCAGCCUUUCAAGCAAUUCAAGGAAAAGUAUCCACAAAUUAAGGUUGGUUAUGUCAACUUCAUCAAAAGCAAACCAAGAAAUGUCGGGCACAUGAGAGCCAUGGAGCGAGCAGUCUGUUGCUGUAUCAAAUGUGAGAAAUUGGAACAUUCUGUGAGAGGUCAAUGAAGUUUCAAACUUCACACUGUCCCAACGAAACCAGAACUCAGGAUUGUAUUUUUCGCAAAUGUGACAGCUGUGGACCAACCCUGAUCACUUGACAUUUCAGUUCCUACCUGGAGAAGUGAAGGUCAACAGAUGGUAGCAUGUGACAAAAAA
rnacentral:lncRNA from 1 species